AUGAAUAUUGUAUGCAUACGCUGUGGCUAGUUCUAUAAUUCGUUUAUUGCGAAGCAAACCGUCAAAUAUUGUCAACUGAAAUACAAGUAUGAGCAAUUUAAAACUUAUUAUACUGAUGAUGAAUGCUGUGUUGAGAGUUGUUGCUCAGCUAUGGUACAUGUACGAAUUGGUAAAAACAUUGGGCUUCACAGUCUCAAAUUGUACCGAGCAAAAAGUCGAUAGUAUGUUAUCAUGUGCAGCGAUUGGGCGUGUGGCAAAGGCUCCUACAUAUGUUUUUAUUGUUGAUUAAAACCUAUGUUUAUGGGAUUGUAAAUCUUUCAAAAAUGAUUAUCCGUCUGUUGAAAAUCAUAAAUGGCGUCAAUACGAGGUGAAAUUGAGGAAGAACUCCGCUUUGAAAAAACCAACUACAGGAUCAUCUGUACUCGAGGGUGAUUAUGGUAACUGGGAUCCUCAUUAUGCGACAGAUGGUUUAGUCCAACGUGGCAACACAAAAAUCUUUCAUUCAGCUUUAGAACGAUUUCCUUGGAUCAGGAUCGAUAUGUUAGAGACUGUACCAAUACUCUUAAUUCGUGUACACAACAGAGGAGAUGGAUUUGGGCACCGAUUCCACGACGUUGCUGUCGAAGUGACAAAUAACAGCGAGUAUGUACAACGUGGGUUUUAUCAGGGACCUGCAGCUAAUCAUGGCGAAGUAGCUAUAGUGGAUAUCAUGUGUGACUACCAAACUAUUGCUCGCUACGUCCGACUAAGAAUAACGAAAGGGUCUGAAAAUUAUCUUAAUAUUCCAGAACUCGAAAUAUACACAAAUUGAUUACUUUCUUCAUACGACAAACGUGUAGUUCAUCCCUCGUUUGUUGUGAAACGUUACCACUUGAGGAAAACAAAAAACUUUCAAAUAUCAUAUAUUUGCAUUUUGGUUGAUACAUUUUAUAAAAGACUGAUUUAACAAGAAAAUUGUCUUGUCAAUAACAUAAUUAAUUUCUUUUCGUUAGCAUAUGAAACUAUUUUGUAAGUGUGUUCGAUAUGUUUUCUAGUGUUAAGCGUAGGAUUUAAAUAAUGCAGAUGGAUAUGCGUGUUAUAUGUCACAGGUAUUUAAAAAGGUGUAUCUUACAUGUGGUCAAUCGAGUUCGUAUUCAGCUUUCAAUAUAACUGAGGGUAAAUCGAAAUUAAUAUCGGUUCAGAUUCUUUAUUUUAUAGAAAACUUCAAUAGACAAACGUCAUCAAGAUGUGGAGAAUCCUUAAUUAAAUAAAUAUUUAAUUUGUAUAUUGUCUUACAGAAGACCAGGAAGAAAAUAAACGCAUUGAUAUGUGUUUAUAAUUAAAGCUGAGUACAUAACUCAUGUCUAUAAUAAAUUGUUCCAUUUGUAA
rnacentral:misc_RNA from 1 species